rnacentral:rRNA from 1 species
CACGUAGGCACCAAGCGUUGUCCGGAUUUAUUGGGCGUAAAGAGCUCGUAGGCGGUUCGGUAAGUCGGGUGUGAAAACUCUGGGCUCAACCCAGAGCCGCCACCCGAUACUGCUGUGACUUGAGUUCGGUAGGGGAGCGGGGAAUUCCUGGUGUAGCGGUGAGAUGCGCAGAUAUCUGGAGGAACACCGGUGGCGAAGGCGGCAUCCUGGACCGGCAUUGACGCUGAGGCGCGAAAGCUAGGGGAGCAAACGGG